rnacentral:rRNA from 1 species
UACGUAGGGUCCAAGCGUUGUCCGGAUUUAUUGGGCGUAAAGAGCUCGUAGGUGGUUCGGUAAGUCGGAUGUGAAAACUCGGGGCUCAACCCCGAGACGCCAUCCGAUACUGCUGUGACUUGAGUCUGGUAGGGGAGAUCGGAAUUCCUGGUGUAGCGGUGAAAUGCGCAGAUAUCAGGAGGAACACCGGUGGCGAAGGCGGAUCUCUGGGCCAGUACUGACGCUGAGGAGCGAAAGCGUGGGUAGCAAACAGG